UAAAUGUCUUGGCUUUACGUUUUUUGUGCACUGAUGAUGAUUUUUUUCUUAUUCUGUUUGUUUUUUUUUUUUUUAAAAAAGCAAUA
rnacentral:misc_RNA from 1 species